rnacentral:lncRNA from 1 species
AGCAGAGCCCAUAACAUCCUUUCAUGUUGGUGCUUUCUGAUUCACAGAUUGUUCAAGUAAACUUUGUUAAAUUUCUUUUGUCAGAAGUUCUUCUUUUAACAAUUGUGUGUUAAGACAUAACUCUGGGAGCGUUUUGCAAAAUGCUUUUGAACAGGGAGAAAAUGUUGGCAUGAGGAUGAGUUUGGAUGCCUUUGAAAUAAUCCAGGCAAUAGAUAACUUUAAGAGAUGGGAGUGUUCCAGGUGGAGUAAAUAGCUUCUGCAGAAGCCCACAAUCUAAAUGCCCAACAGGGAACAUCUGCUUGGAACUCCCUUUGCUUGCUCUUCGCCAGUGCCUUUGACUUUCAUCACACCUGUUCACCAGCUCUAUCAGCUUGGUAGAAGUGAAAGCCCUACUCCUGGCAAUGGGUCAUUUGAGCUUAGAGGAGUGGGCUGGAGAAGAGGAAAUGAUACCAUGUUCUUUUAAGAAAAAAGAGGAAAAAGCCCACAAGAUGAACACUAUGGUGUAUAACCCUGUCAUGUCUUUUUAGCAAUGAACUUUGGAGCCCUGGAAACAAGUAGCCCUAAGUUACAACACUCAAUUUUAAAUGGGAAAGAGCAUCUCCUAAAAGAAAACUAUCCAGAGAAGCUGUGAAGAGAAAUUCAAAGGAAGGGUAAACUCUGAGUUUACAGUGUGGCUUCUUGCCAUUUUGUAUAUUGACAGAACACUAUAAGCCUUAUGUCAAUAUCCUGUAAAGGAUGAGUGUCACAGGAGGCAUGAAAAAUAAAGCUGAAAGAAAUUUGUAUAAUAUCUAUAAAAGCACUUCUAACCCUGAGAGAAAGCAUUAAAAUAAAAGAGAGGGGCUGUAUGUUAUCUCUGUUUCUGCAUAAGAAUGCAGAAGAAUUCAUGAACUCUGCGAAUGCAGAAGUUAAUGAACAUCAUGAAAAGAAUAAAAGAGGAAUGAAAAUGCAAACAUACAAGUUUGGGAUGUUAUCACACAUUAAUCGGAAAUGCAAAAAUAAAUUGACAAUACUAUGUGUUGGCAAGAACACAAUGGGAACUCUCAUUCACUACUAGUGGGUGUGUAAAUUAAUACAAACUGUUUGAAAACAGUUUUAACUUGUCCUUUCAAACUAUACUACAAGGCUACAGUAACCAAAACAGCAUGGUACUGGUACCAAAACAGACAUAUAGACCAAUGGGGCAGAGCAGAAACCUCAGACAUAACACCACACAUCUACAACCAUCUGAUCUUCAACAAACCUGAUAAAAACAAGUAAUGGGGAAAGGAUCUCCUAAUCAGUAAAUGGUGCUGGGAAAACUGGCUAGUUAUAUGCGGAAAACUGAAACUGGACCCCUUCCUUACACCUUAUACAAAAAUUAACUCACAAUGCAUUACAAACUUAAAUAUAAAAUCCAAAAGCAUAAAAACUCUAGAAGAAAACCUAGGCAAUACCAUUUAGGACAGGCAUGGGCAAAGACUUCAUGACAAAAACUUCAAAAGCAAUUGCAACAAAAGCCCAAAUUGACAAAUGGGGUCUAAUUAAACUAAAGACCUUCUGCACAGCAAAAGAAACUAUCAUCAGAGUGAACAGGCAACCUACAGAUUGGGAGAAAAUUUUUGCAAUCUACCCAUCUGAUGAAAGUGUAAUAUCCAGAAUUUACAAGGAACUUAAACAUAUUUACAAGAAAAAAACAACCCCAUCGAAAAGUGGGCACAGGAUAUGAACAGACACUUCUCAAAAGAAGACAUUUAUGCAGCCAACAAACAUGAAAAAAGCUCAACAUCACUGAUCAUCAGAGAAAUGCAAAUCAAAACCACAAUGAGAUACCAUCUCACACCAGUCAGAAUGGUGAUUAUUAAAAAGUUAGGAGACAAUAGAUGCUGGCAAGGCUGUAGAGAAAUAGGAAUGCUUUUGCACUGUUGGUGGGAAUGUAAAUUAGUUCAACCAUUGUGGAAGACAGCAUAGUGAUUCCUCAAGGAUCUAGAACCAGAAAUACCAUUUGUUUCAGCAAUCCUAUUACUGGGAAUAUACCCAAAGGAAUAUAAGUCAUUCUACACAUGCACACGUAUGUUUAUUGCAGCAAUAUUUACAAUAGCAAAGACAUGGAACCAACCCAAAUGCCCAUCAAUGAUAGACUGGAUAAAGAAAAUGUGGUACAUAUACACCAUGGAGCCAUAAAAAGGAAGGAGAUCAUGUCCUUUGCAGGGACAUGGAUGAAGCUGAAAGCCAUCAUCCUCAGUAAACAAGCACAGGAACAGAAAACCAAA